CUGAGGCGUGAUGACGAGGCACUACGGUGCUGAAGCAACAAAUGCCCUGCUUCCAGGAAAAGCCUCUAAGCAUCAGGUAACACGAAAUCGUACCCCAAACCGACACAGGUGGUCAGGUAGAGAAUACCAAGGCGCUUGAGAGAACUCGGGUGAAGGAACUAGGCAAAAUGGUGCCGUAACUUCGGGAGAAGGCACGCUGACACGUAGGUGAAGUGAUUUACUCAUGGAGCUGAAGUCAGUCGAAGAUACCAGCUGGCUGCAACUGUUUAUUAAAAACACAGCACUGUGCAAACACGAAAGUGGACGUAUACGGUGUGACGCCUGCCCGGUGCCGGAAGGUUAAUUGAUGGGGUCAGCGCAAGCGAAGCUCCUGAUCGAAGCCCCGGUAAACGGCGGCCGUAACUAUAACGGUCCUAAGGUAGCGAAAUUCCUUGUCGGGUAAGUUCCGACCUGCACGAAUGGCGUAAUGAUGGCCAGGCUGUCUCCACCCGAGACUCAGUGAAAUUGAACUCGCUGUGAAGAUGCAGUGUACCCGCGGCAAGACGGAAAGACCCCGUGAACCUUUACUAUAGCUUGACACUGAACAUUGAGCCUUGAUGUGUAGGAUAGGUGGGAGGCUUUGAAGUGUGGACGCCAGUCUGCAUGGAGCCGGCCUUGAAAUACCACCCUUUAAUGUUUGAUGUUCUAACGUGGACCCGUUACCCGGGUUGCGGACAGUGUCUGGUGGGUAGUUUGACUGGGGCGGUCUCCUCCUAAAGAGUAACGGAGGAGCACGAAGGUUGGCUAAUCCUGGUCGGACAUCAGGAGGUUAGUGCAAUGGCAUAAGCCAGCUUGACUGCGAGCGUGACGGCGCGAGCAGGUGCGAAAGCAGGUCAUAGUGAUCCGGUGGUUCUGAAUGGAAGGGCCAUCGCUCAACGGAUAAAAGGUACUCCGGGGAUAACAGGCUGAUACCGCCCAAGAGUUCAUAUCGACGGCGGUGUUUGGCACCUCGAUGUCGGCUCAUCACAUCCUGGGGCUGAAGUAGGUCCCAAGGGUAUGGCUGUUCGCCAUUUAAAGUGGUACGCGAGCUGGGUUUAGAACGUCGUGAGACAGUUCGGUCCCUAUCUGCCGUGGGCGCUGGAGAACUGAGGGGGGCUGCUCCUAGUACGAGAGGACCGGAGUGGACGCAUCACUGGUGUUCGGGUUGUCAUGCCAAUGGCACUGCCCGGUAGCUAAAUGCGGAAGAGAUAAGUGCUGAAAGCAUCUAAGCACGAAACUUGCCCCGAGAUGAGUUCUCCCUGAGACUUNGUCUCCUGAAGGAACGUUGAAGACGACGACGUUGAUAGGCCGGGUGUGUAAGCGCAGCGAUGCGUUGAGCUAACCGGUACUAAUGAACCGUGAGGCUUAACC
rnacentral:rRNA from 1 species